rnacentral:rRNA from 1 species
UACGUAGGCAGCGAGCGUUGUUCGGAGUUACUGGGCGUAAAGGGUGUGUAGGCGGUUGUUUAAGUUUGGUGUGAAAUCUCCCGGCUCAACUGGGAGGGUGCGCCGAAUACUGAAUGACUAGAGUGUGGGAGAGGUGAGUGGAAUUCCUGGUGUAGCGGUGAAAUGCGUAGAUAUCGGAAGGAACACCUGUGGCGAAAGCGGCUCAUUGGACCACAACUGACGCUGAUGCACGAAAGCUAGGGGAGCAAACAGG